UACGCAGGGGGCUAGCGUUGUCCGGAAUCAUUGGGCGUAAAGCGCGCGUAGGCGGCCCGGUAAGUCCGCUGUAAAAGUCAAAGGCUCAACCUUUGAAUGUCAGUGGAUACUGCCGGGCUAGAGUCCGGAAGAGGCGAGUGGAACUCCUGGUGUAGCGGUGGAAUGCGCAGAUAUCAGGAAGAACACCGACGGCGAAGGCAGCUCGCUGGGACGGUACUGACGCUGAGGCGCGAAAGCGUGGGGAGCGAACAGG
rnacentral:rRNA from 1 species